rnacentral:rRNA from 1 species
GGUGACAGCCCCGUACACAAAAAUGCACAUACUGUGAGCUCGAUGAGUAGGGCGGGACACGUGGUAUCCUGUCUGAAUAUGGGGGGACCAUCCUCCAAGGCUAAAUACUCCUGACUGACCGAUAGUGAACCAGUACCGUGAGGGAAAGGCGAAAAGAACCCCGGCGAGGGGAGUGAAAAAGAACCUGAAACCGUGUACGUACAAGCAGUGGGAGCACGCUUAGGCGUGUGACUGCGUUCCUUUUGUAUAAUGGGUCAGCGACUUAUAUUCUGUAGCAAGGUUAACCGAAUAGGGGAGCCGAAGGGAAACCGAGUCUUAACUGGGCGUUAAGUUGCAGGGUAUAGACCCGAAACCCGGUGAUCUAGCCAUGGGCAGGUUGAAGG